rnacentral:rRNA from 1 species
CCUACGGGGGGCAGCAGUCGAGAAUCAUUCACAAUGGGGGAAACCCUGAUGCUGCGACGCCGCGUGGGGGAAUGAAGGUCUUCGGAUUGUAAACCCCUGUCAUGUGGGCGCAAAUUAAAAAGAUAGUACCACAAGAGGAAGAGACGGCUAACUCUGUGCCAGCAGCCGCGGUAAUACAGAGGUCUCAAGCGUUGUUCGGAAUCACUGGGCGUAAAGCGUGCGUAGGCUGUUUCGUAAGUCGUGUGUGAAAGGCGCGGGCUCAACCCGCGGACGGCACAUGAUACUGCGAGACUAGAGUACUGGAGGGGGAAGCGGAAUUCUCGGUGUAGCAGUGAAAUGCGUAGAUAUCGAGAGGAACACUCGUGGCGAAGGCGGGUUCCUGGACAUUAACUGACGUUGAGGCACGAAGGCCAGGGGAGCGAAAGGGAUUAGAUACCCCUGUAGUC